ACCAGUGCAGCCAGCAAUUGCCGCCCAUCUGUGCCUUCUUUCACUGUAGUGAAACUUAUCGCAGCGUUCGUGGUACGCUCAGGUGUGUUGCGCCGAUAAGACUCGCAUACAGUUGCUCUCCGUUCGUCUGGCGGAUACGUGUGUCGUUUUUCUCCGUAGACGUCUCAUUUUGACUCCGAGUUCCACUGACUGGCCAUUAAAACUGCUCUGAAGUGUCAAAUCAGGACUACUCCCAAAUACGACUUCUGCCUCCAAGAUUGGUAAAGGAUUCAACUCCAGGGACCAGACGGCGGUCCUCACUGGACGUGAGGCCAUCGGCAGCGGCGCACCGACAUGAGCGGGAACCCGUGGACGGCGGCGUCCGCCUGCCCCUACUGCGGCCGCCAGCUGCCUUCCUCGCACUUGCAGAUCCACCUGGACGAGUGUGACCUGGCGCUGGAGAAAUGCCCCAACUCGUGUGGAGUAUCAGUUCAGCGACG